CUUAAGUAUUUUAAUUAGAAAGAAAUAUUGUAAAUAUUUUAGUAAUAUAUAGUUUUUAAGA
rnacentral:tRNA from 1 species